GCUCUGUUCAGAAUAGAGUUUAAAACAAUUGACAAUUGUUGGGAAUUUCUGGUUCCCACCCAAGAUCUCUGCUAGCAAUACGUCAAAUAAAUAACAAACAAAAAAAAUACAAUAGAGAAUACUCCGAGCACACAACACAAGAGUUACCUGAAACUUGGAGCGUUCAGUGAGUCUUCAAUUUACAUGAAAGAAACUUAGUUCUAUAUUGUUUGGUAGGCUAGAAAAUGAAAGAAAAUAAAAGAAAAGCUUUGCAAAGAAAACCGUUAGAUCUUUUUAUUAUUCCAAGCUUACAGUUU
rnacentral:lncRNA from 1 species